CCAGAUUUAAGUUUAUUCUACCAAAGACUAUUCGGUGAAGAGGUGAAUAAUAGAGUUAAAAAUACAGUACGAAGUUGAAGAACAUCAAGAAUUCAUAUUACCGAAAGGUUUUGUGAACUACAGCUAAGGUAUUAUAUUGUUAUUAACAAAAUCCUUAGUAUUUCCAACAAUGCAAAGUUGAUAUCGCUUAAUCUUUGACAAAUCUGCUCUCUUCAAUGCUUUUAACAGAUGGAAGUUCUAACAUAGUGUUAUUUUCAGAUUUUCUACGUCUAUAGGUUGAUCGUCAGUGGGACAAAUCUCUUCCACUAUUUUCAACAUAUGAAAUAAAACAAAUAUACAUGUAUAUGUUAUAUGACUGAACAAUAACAAUGAUGAUAAUUAAACCUGUGACAAAUAUUAAUGUCCCAGAUAAAACGUUAUAGAUAGUAAAUAACAUAUUAGAUCCAACCCUCAAACGAACAUACACAUUGAACAAGUAAAGCCAUAACAAUGUCAUAGUUGAAUGAUUUCUAAAAAAUCAACCAACCAGAAAUCAUUUAUAAACGUUCUAAUAAAUUAUCUGAUGAACAAUAUUUUCAAUUGUGUUUAUCGGUAAUGGUCUUAUCAAUUUUGUAGUUUAAUAUUCAUAAGAAUUCUGAAAUCAUUUGGUGAUUUGGGUUAAGUUUCUGUUCAGAUUAACAGUAGGUAUGCUCAAAGUGUUCAAAAUUACGUCCAGGAAUACAUGAACAUAUAAAAGAGGUGGUAUAAUUGCCAAUGAGACAACUCUCCACAAGAGACCAAAUGACACAAAAAUUUUCAACUAUAGGUCACCGGACGGCCUUCGACAAUGAGCAAUGAGCAAAGCCCAUACCGCAUAGUCAGCUAUAACAGACCCCGAAAUAAUAAAUUUAAACCAACGGCCUAAUUUAUGCACAAAAAAUGAACGAACAAUAAAUAUGUAACACCUCAACAAACGACAACCACUGAAUUACAGGCUCCUGACUUGGGACAGGCACAUUCAUGUUAAGCUAUUGAAUGGUAAACGUUCCAACUGUACCCAUCAAUUGCAGAACACUGCGUACAAAACAUCGGUUGACACAUGCCAGCAAUGUACAGUUUUAGAACAUUCUUGAUAUUGAAACAAAAUAUACGUGGAUGUGUACGGAUUGAUUUUUUAGUCUUAGAUGCAUGAUUUGUUUUAUUAGUUGUUAGUGGCUGUGAACUAGCUGUCAGAUAACUGCGAGUACUCUCAGAUCUGUUCAUUGCAUCUUUUUGUAGUCGGGAUGUAUAAGUACCCGGCCACGUCCACUUGUAUUUUUGUCCAUCUGAUGAGUUAAGUCUUUUCCAACUGAUUUUUAUAAUUCGUUCUUAUGUUGUACUGUUGUAGCAUUGUCCCAGGUUAGGGGGAGGGUUGGGAUCCCGCUAACAUGUUUAACCUCGCCACAUUAUUUAUGUAUGUGCCUGUCCCAAGUUAGGAGCCUGUAAUUCAGUGGUUGUCGUUUGUUUAUGUGUUACAUAUUUAUUUGUCGUUCAUUUUUUUUUACAUAAAUAAGGCCGUUAGUUUUCUCGUAUGAAUUGUUUUACAUUGUCUAAUCGGGGCCUAUUAUAGCUGACUAUGCGGUAUGGGCUUAGCUCAUUGUUGACGGCCUAUAACGUGACCUAUAGUUGUUAAUGUCUGUGUCAUUUUGGUCUUUUAUGGAUAGUUGUCUCAUUAGCAAUCAUACCACAUCUUCUUUUUUAUGUGUUACAUUUUCUCUCCAAAUUUGAACCGCACGAUUAGUAAUCAAUUGAUACAAAAAGAAACAAUGCUACAAACAAUCUCUGCCGAAUUAAACUAUUAAAGCAAAAUCCGAUUUCGCUUCAGUAGAGGUUAAUGUUGAUUGAAGGCAUGCAUAUUUCAUCAAAUUCAAUUUAAAGUAGACUAGUCUAUCAUAACAGCAUGAUCAGAUUAUUUAAAGCCGACAAUAUAUUCAAACGAGCAGAUUGGAUAAAAACAACCAGUAGCAGCUGAUGGACCAUAAACACUUACAUAAACUAUAGUUAAUGAAAGUUAAUGCAUAUGAAAUGCUUAAAAACUCUAUGAGCUGAAAUUUUUUGGAAUAAUUCUUUACAUAUUAUUCAGAUAAACUCUUCGAAGGUUCGAAAAAAGGGACUUGAAAAAAAUGACUGAAUAAUGUAGAUAUAAUGUUGAGCUUAAGGAUUAACGGCGGACAUCUAUUUUUGUUUUCAAAUACAAACAUCAAUAUUCUGGAAGACAUGAUCUGAUCGAUUAUCCUAAGCAAAUGCUGACAGAUAACCAAAGUUAAAAUAUACUAAGUACUUAGAUGUGACAGACUGCAAACACAUUACAUUAAGCGUUUGUUAACUGAUAGGCGAAUGACAGUUUACAAAAAGACGCUUCGUUUCUGAUUUUAAUGCACCAACAUUACAAACGGCUAUAUCAUAUAUAAUUAAAAAGCUCAUUAACUGUUCCUUCUGUAUUGCCUUGUCGUCAAUAAUUCGCACGGUGUAAUGUUCGUUAAAGCAAUGUCGAAGAUCAAAAACUGAACAUUCCUAGAUAUUGCUAGUAUUUAACAAAAUGUCCUUUUCUUGUACGUGUAUACUAUAACUAAAACGUUGAUUGCGCAAAAUUUACAGAAAAGUGUAACUAUAACAAAAACUUCCAAAAAAUGAUUGUUAUAAAAGAAGAAUGUGUUCUGAUGUUUGAUUAUAAUAUGCCAAAACAUAGAAUAGUUUUAUUGUUUGUAACCCAAAGCCCCCCCCCCCCAAAAAAAAAAAACAACAAAAAAAACAAACAGUUGAACUAUGAACACCAUUGGAAAACAGGGAUUUUUUGACUUUAUUGAAUAGAUAGUAAUGUCAAUAUAAGCAAAAAAUGAUUAACCGUAUUUGAAAAAAAGAGUAAUGGAAGAAUUUUAGGGAACAAGCUUAAACAAGGUAUUAUAUCUAGUAAAAAAGUUUUUCCGAUGUCUAAACACAUGUUACGAAGUUUUUUCCCGUUCAAUAUUCGAAAACUGUAUGUACCAUGCGCUUUCAAAUAAAAUAUCCGGCGAAAUCCUUUUAAUGUUACCCUAUUAUAACACUCUAUAUUAGUUGUUUUAUCAAAUAAUAAAUUAGGUAUUGUUCGCACAUUUCGAUGAAGUAUUUUAAGAGUUUUGUCGGUCCCAUUUGUUCGCAGUGGUCAUUCUGUGAUCUGUUUUGUCUUCGACUGUGGUUUGCGACUUUCUCCUUGUUAUUUUUGAUCCGUCUUUCAACCAAAAAAGAAAAAGAAAAAGAAAACUAGUGGUUCAAAGCUGAGUAAAUAAAAGACAGAACGCAAUACUCUGGUAUCGAUGCAAGACAUAACAAAAAAAGUAACACAACAAAAAUACCUAACUCCGAGGUAAAUUCCAAACGGAAUGUCCCAGAUCAAACAAAACCAAAAGCUGAAACACACCACACCAAUUGGAAAACAAUUUGCAGAAAAAUACUGCACUCCGAGGAAAAUUCAAAUCAGAAAGUACCUAAUCGAAUGGCAAAAUCAAAUAAUAAAGCACAUCAAACAAAUGGGCAACAACUGUCAUAUUCCUGACUUGAACCUCUCUCAUUUUAUAUAGUAAAAGAAAAAUGUAAGAAUCAUCUUCUUCCUACGUCCUUUUUCUAUGAUAUUUUUAUUAAAUAUAUCCAUCCGUCUUAAAAACUUUGUAAUGAGGAAUAUUCCUCCAAAAUUGCUGGGCAGAUUUUAAUGAAGUUCCAAGUUGUAAAAUGCUUUUACGCUAUCUCAUAAAAUUAGCACAAUCUUAUCAAAAUGUAGAGCUCUGAUUUUGUCUUUCUCAUACAAUAUAUGAGCGGGUGAGUCGUGACUAAUUUGAAUUUUAGUUAGAUUGUUUUAACCCGUGUUUUCCCCUCUUGUACCUACUAUUUUGAACGUUUUUUCAAUGUCAGUUGGGAUCAAUUAUUAGUGUUGUGAUAUCUUCACACUUUUAGACAUCUGAACAAAAAAAAAUAACGCGAGAAAAUCACCACCAGUUGCUGUAAAAUCAAUUUUAGAGGGCUAAGUGCAAAAUGAAUAUCCACAACAUGAAUUUUUAGAUGGCAAAAAAAGUUAAAACCUUAAAAUAUUCAACCACAAUUUUCAUUUUUCUCACAAUUGUAUAAUAUUUCAUAUAAAAUCACUUCAUUUUAACCAUAUGUAUUGUUGACGGUGAUUACAAGGUUUUCCUCACUAAGGUCGGUGGUUCCUUGGCACUCGGUGGACCUCCACCAAUAAAAACUGAUCGCCGUAAAAUACUUUAGUAGCUACACGUGGUGACUUUCGGUUAAAAACUAACAAUCAAUCAAUCAUAUGUACAAUGUACUUCUAUGUUAACUAUUCAGGAAGUGUAAGUAUUGUUAUUGCGAUUUGGUGGAAUUUACCAAAAAAAAUGAAGAAAGUAAUGUUAGUAUUUAUAUGGUUGCAACAUGUCUCAAUUCAUUUACAAGAAAUAACUUAGUUUGAAAGAACUGAAUAGUAGUAACUAUUAAAUCAUAGACAAUAAUUUGGUUUUUCACUCAUUUUCAUCAUUUGCUAUGACAUUUCGGGAAAACGAUGCUAUUUAAAAAAUCCGACUAUUAUCAUCUGUUCUAUCAUAUUUUCACAUUUGCAUACAGCAUAUUAUUAUUCAGAAGACAGCAUAUUGAAAAAUGCUGACUUCUUCUCAAAUUAUGAAUUGUCUGUCCUUGACUGUUCAUCUUGAUUUGACGGCAACUGCACAAUUCGAUUAUCUGACGGCCGGGCAAAAAUGAUAGUACAGAUGAUGUGAUUUCAAAUGGUAUAUGCUUUAAAUGUAUGUUAGUUGGUACACUAAAAUGACAUUUUAUUGUUUAUGUCACUCGUCUAUAGGUGACAUGGGACACUUUGUAUUCUUAAAGAAGACAACCGAUAUUAAUAUCUUCAAUUUUCAUAUCUUAAUUAGACCUAAGGAUAAUAGCCUCAUAUUGAAUAUCAGUGAUUUUCCUUAUAACUUGACUAAUGUCAUUACUUGGACAGAACAAUUUUCCAUUAAGUUAACCAAAAAGUAUAUAUGCAAAGAGACACUGUAAAUGGUUCAACCACUAUCUAGUUCAAUAAAAUGAAGCUAUUUUCAUGUUUUAAAAACAAUGACGGUUUCGGCAAUAUCAGGAAAAGAUUACCUUACCAGUAUUUUGGCAAAACUUUUAGGAGUUUUUGGUCCUCAAUGCUCUUCAACUUUGUACUCUAUUUGGCCUUUUAAACAUUUUUUGAUUCGAAGCGUCACUGAUGAUUCUUUUGUAAACGAAAAGCGCGUCUGGCGUAAACAUGAAAUUUUGAUCCUGGUAUCUAUGAUGAGUUUAUUUGUAACCACUGUGUCGAUGGCACUGCUGGUGGAGAUUUAUUUCCCGAGGGUAUCACCAGCCCAGAAGUCAGCACUUCUGUGUUGAUUUGAGUUAUCAUUGAUAUGUUCAUAAUUAUAAAAUAACUGUAAACAAAACUUUGAAAUUUUGAAACACUAAGACUUUUCUACUUCAGGAAUAGAUUACUUAGCUGUAUUGUGGCAACACUUUUAGAAAUUUUUGGUCCUCAAUGCUUUUCAAUUAUGUACUCUAUUUGGCCUUUUAAACAUUUUUUUUAUUCAAGCGUCACUAAUGAGAAAUAUGUAGAGGAAACUCGCGUCUGGCGUAAAUAUAAAAUUUUAAUCCUGAUAAUUAUGAUGAGUUUAUUUGCAGGUAUUAGACUAAGGCAACAGUUUUACAUAACUAUAAGAGGAAAACAACUGAAUACAAGAAACACUAAACUGAAAUGAAAAUAAAAGCAUACAUACAAAGAAAUGGAAUAUACUAUAACAACUGCCAUACCUCCUGACUUGAACAGGAAAUUUUAAGAAAAAAAGGUGGGUCCAUAAUCUUGACUUGUAAAAAAAAAAUGGUGGAUUGAACCUUGCUUUUUGGCAAGCCAAACCUUCCACAUAAAUGGCAAUAUACAUAAUUCCGCUGAAAUGAUAACAUGAUUUGAGAGGAAUACUGUGCAAUCAAAUACACGAACACUCAACAUAGAGAAAAACGUAACUCAAUAAUAUAUUAGUACAUUACAACAUCUAAACCGCAGAAUAACAACAAACACCACCCAUGAUUUUACGAAAGCACACCAGGACACCACAAACGAAGAAUAAACUGCGCGUAGCAUGAAUGGAUCAACAACACAAAAAGUGACAUUUUUUUUGUUACAUUUAUAUGAACACAGGUAAAUUUCAAAAAAGAAAACAUUUAUCUGUUUUAUUUAUAGACACGUACAAGAAAACUUAAUGUGGAUUGAUUAGCAUACUAUUUCCAUGACAUGUUUUUUUUUGGGACAGAAUGAAUAAUACUAGUGUACAUGUUCAAUUCGAACGACACAGGGCUGGUGAUGGUAAUCUUAUUUUUGUGUGAUAACAUGUUCAAGAAUUUUGUAUUUAAAUAACAUGAUAACACAACCUGAUCAAUUUUUGUCUUAUUUCAGGUUUUGGCAAAUUAUUCCAGUCAAACUGAAACGGCAAAUUAGAGAUUUUAAAAUGCUAGAAUUACUGCUUAUUGCAUAAUAACCAUUGCUUUACAGAAUUGAUGACAUCGCAGAUCAAAAUUCGGGAACAAGUAAGAAAUGUUUUUUUUAUAUGUUAACUACCAUAUAAUAACCGUAAAAUCGUCUGUAUGCAUGUAUAUGUUAAAGGAGAUUUUGAAUCUUCUAGUUUAAAAAAGAAUAUGUGAAAUAGAUAUUCCUUGUGUUUAAUGUAUUUGAAUGGAAUUUAAUAGCAGUGAUUCUAACCACCAUUAACAUAAACCAACGUGUUCAUUGGAGAACAUUUAAGCCGAAAGCUACAGGUCACUUUUGCACCCACACCAACAAAAACAUUUAUUACCCAGAAGAAUGUGACCUGUAAUGAUGGAAGUUGAAUAUCAAAGUGAGCCUUUCAGAAAGAAGUAUAAACAGAGUUAAAAGCAUAGCACGGAACAAUGUGUUACUUGGAAAUACUUUUCUCUCAACUGGUGACAUGUUGACAGGUACCUCAAGUAAACUUACUCUUCAAUUUAUUAAAUAUGUAUCUUUUUUGCCAGCUGAGAAUGGUAAGUACGAAUAAAAAAACGUGUCCCAAAGGCCUUUCAAUUGGUUAAAAACGUGAUUCGUAUUCACAGUUAUCCGCUGUAUUAAGCUGGGGUCACACAUUGACGAUUUUUGCUGCCGUCCUUGACAGAACCAUUCCAGAUUAAAAUUUGUCAAAAGUCUGAUCAAUAUCCUGUAAAUCGUGGAUGGAAAUUCAAACUUUAAUUAAUAUUUGUAAAAUUUAUUUUUAAUCACGACAAAAAUCAGAUAUUGUUGAGGAAGCGUCGAUAUUCAACCGUUUCCUAGCGAAUUUGUCCCGAUUUUCCCGUUCUCAAUACGCUUCUAAUCCGAUUUGUAUCUUUCACAGGAUAAAAUUCGACCGAGUCUGUCACAACUGCGUCCCGAGAUCAGACAGUGACCAGACAGUGUACCGACGCUGACGGAAUUUAUUCGUUAGAAAACUGUUGAUAUAUUCGGGAUAAUCUAGUAAUGUCGGAACGUAAUCGUAUCAUGGUCCGCUCUUGCGCACAGUAAACGGCUUUGUCUGGUCUCAGUCGUAUUGCUUUCUGUAAUUGUCGGGACUCUGACGUUGGUAUCAUUGACGAAUUUUGCAUUAAUAACGGGACUGAUCGGGAACAGUUUCGACAAAGAGUGUUCGCAAUUGACAAGAUCUGGAUGCAAUCUGGACACAAUCGGUAGAAAAACAGCAAUGAAAAAUUUCUCCAGAUCAUUCCCCUUCCACAGGACAUCAUCCAGAAAACACAGAACAUUUUUGGGAUUUUGAUCCGAAACAGCAGAAUCUGUCACGACAAAGUCACGGUUGUAAUCCAACUAGACAAAAUCGGCUGAGUUUCCCGAAUGUUACGGGACGCAACUAUCUGUCGGGGUGCUUCGCCGAACAACCAGGACCAUUCCCCGACCCGUAGGAAUCUGUUACAAACUUAAACGACUGCGUUCAGACAAUGAUAGGACAUUCCAGAUAAUUGAGGAUAGUAAUCAGAUUUUUUUUCAAUUUUCGUAUCUUAUUGCUGUCUGAUCUCAAACGGGUGCAAUAAUCGGCAAUGUUUGAACGCCGCAUUAGAAGUUUCCCGAUUUAAAACCAUAUGUUAUUUUAAUGAUCGGGCGGAGCUUAAGUGCCAGUUUGCAUAAGGACAGUCUACACGAAGAUGUGUGAAAUAAUGUUGAUUGCCGUUAUAAAUAUUAUUACUGAUUUUCUAAUCACCUACAUGUAUCAGUGUCAAAACAGAUAUGCAACAGAACUGAGUGAACGAUAUGAUCGGGCGAAUAAAAUAGUGAAAGACUGAUGCAUUUGUAGCAUUUAUAUGUGCUAAAGCAGAGUAUUUAAAGUAUCGGCUAUUAUAUUAUUCUGCUUAGAAAUUUUCUGAUUGUGAGAUUUAUUCUAAACGUGAUUUAUAAAAAAAUUGCAUAAAACAUAAAAUAAGUCUAUUGGCCACUUAUUCCUGAAAUUCCCCCCUGUCAACCAUAAAAACAAGCUUCCUGAAUAUGUGAAUAUAAAAAAGAAUAAGAAAGCGAUAGAAUAACCAGAUAUGCAUAUUUUGCAUCUGAUGUUGUCAUAGCUCUACUUUUAUAGCCACAAAUUCAAAAAUGUGCCAAAUUUAACAUGUUUUUUUAUACUAUGCUUCACAAGAAAACCAACGGCUGUGUCUCAUUAUUUAUUUUGCGAAUACCCAUACAGUGUUUACAUAUUUUAAAACAGAUCAAUGAUAAUAACUGAACACUUCAUUUGUGAUAUUACAUUGGUUAUUCUCAUCGGAUUUUGUCUAAUGCUUAGUCCGUUGCUGUGUGUGUUACAUUCUAAUGCAAUUUGUAUGUAUCAUAUUUUUUUUAUUGGCUAAAAGUUGGCCGUCAAAUCCACAGUUGACCAGGCGUAACUAAGGAGGGGCAACCAUUUUGAAAUAAUUGAAUCAACAAAUGUUCGAUUACUACUGUAUAAUCGAAAAUAAAACAACACUUACCUCGAAUUUGCCGUUUUAAUGCUUUGUUAACUGAUUCAGGAAGCUUGUUUUUAUACUAUGCUUCACAAGACAACCAACGGCUGUGUCUCAUUAUUUAUUUUGCGAAUACCCAUACAGUGUUUACAUAUUUUAAAACAGUUCCAAGCAGAAUCAUAUCGCAAAUUCAUGUAUUUGGUUUUGUUGUUUCGGUUAUUCUCAUCGGAUUUUGUCUAAUGCUUAGUCCGUUGCUAUGUAUGUGUUACAUUUUAAUGUUGUGUCGUUGUUCUCCUCUAAUAUCUAAUGCGUUUCCUUCAGUUUUAGUUUGUUAUCCAGAUUUUGUUUUUUUGUCCAUAGAUUUAUGAGUUUUGAACAGCGCUAUGUUACAGUUGCCUUUAUUUAUCCCAAAACACCUGUCUAUAGAUGGACUGGUCUAUGAUAAGCGAACGGAAUAAAAUCCGCCCAGUUAAGUGAAAUAGAUCAAGUAAUACUUACGUAUUAAUUGUAGUAGGAACUGAGAACCGUCAUUAUAUACCCAUACGCUACGCGUCGCCAGUAAAACUGCAUUUGCGACCGUCAAAUCUACAAUUGACGGUGGCAACUCUUCAACUACAGUACUGUUAUUCCUUAAUUUUAAUGUUGUUUCGUCGUUCUCCUUUAAUAUUUAAUGCGUUUCCCUUAGUUUUAGUUUGUUACCCUGAUUUUGUUUUUUGUCCAUAGAUUUAUGAGUUUUGAACAGCGCUAUACUACAGUUGCCUUUAUUUAUUCAAAAACACCUGUCUAUAGAUGGACUGGUCUAUGAUGAGCGAACGGAAUAAAAUCCGCCCAGUUAAGUAAAAUAGAUCAAGUAAUACUUACGUAUUAAUUGUAGUAGGAACUGAGAACCGUCAUUAUACUUUAAAAUAAUGAGAUAUGCUCUAAAUGUCAACGUUUGUUUUUUAAAUCAUUACAAACAGUAUUUAGAGGAUGUGUAGCUAUAAUUUGGUAUUAUUCCAAGGUAAUAUUUUUUUCUAUUCAUAGUCAACGAUAUUGUGUGUACUUGAUUAUGAUUUCAACGAACUGUUGCAAGUUACCGUUAAAUGUACAUAAAAAAAUGUCAUAUCGGUGGUCAGGAAACUUUACCAAUAAAUAAUCAUUAUCGUCCCAUUCUUUAAUAGAAUAAGUUAGUGUCACUAUUUUGUUGCGUUUAAAUUCAUUAUCUUUACUAUUUUUACAUUUUGCUGCAUCUCCGAAAUAAAAAUCAUCAUACACAAAAAUUAUACCACAGUUUGAGUACGAAGAAAGGUGAAAAUAAAACAUACGCUAAUAGAUAUUCAAAGAGCACACGUAUCAGUAUAAUUUACUUUAAUUAUAUGACAACUGUUCUAGUUUUUCAAAUUUAACGAUUCAAGACAUUGGUGUUUUUUAAGGAAAGAGUUUUUAGAAGAACAAAACACUUCAGUUGGUAAUAAAAAAAGACGACGACGAGAAGAACGCUGUUUACUCACUCACUAUGAAAUCCCAGGUCUCUAAUCGCCUCAAAACAAAAUAUCUAUAUUUAGAAUAUCAAAGCCGUCCCAACUCAGUUCUUUUAAGGUCUGUUUAAUUCAUGAACUUGUGUGCAACUAAAUAACCUCAUAAAGAAUCACCAACAAAGUAAUUUAAAAACGUCGAAAUCGUUCUCAAAUAAAACGUGAAGCUAGUGUUUUGCUAAUACACAUUUCAAUUAUUUUGAUUUCAUCAUGAUGAAUAAUAUAUGAUAAAAAUAAUACCACCAAAUCAGCACUUUUUAUUUUUUUUACAUUUAAUCCUCUUCAUGUUCUUGAACACAUAAGGCAUCAACAAGGGACCUCCAACUCGUUCUAUCUUUCGCGAUUUUUUCUAUUUGAUUCCAGGUGUAACCAUGUCUUUUUAUCUCUGCUGCUAUAUCUCUUCUCCAUGUGCCUUUCGGUCUUCCAGGCUUUACAGUUGAGUAACGUGCCAACUGUACUUGAUUAGUAGCAAAUCGGGGAAUAUGUUUUAUUCAGGGCUGCGAACAAAGGCAACCAUUUUAAUGUAUUUUACAUGAAUUUAUAUUGUACAAGAGAAAAUCACAGCUACAGUCGUCCUUUUAAUUCAAGAUAAGAAAUUAAAAUGAAUUGUGUUUGAAAUUUACCGAGAAAGAAAAGAAAAUACAUAGAAAUGUUUAAAUAAUGAUUAAUUCAAAUAUUUAUUUUUGAUUUAUAAAAAGAGGGGCAAAAGAUACCAGACGGAUAGCCAAAUUCAUAGAUCGAAAAUAAACUGACAUCGCCAUGGCUAAAAUAUUAAAAAAAGACAGACAAAUAAUUGUACAAAAGACACAACAUAGAAACCUAAAGGCAAAGUAACACGAAUCUCACCUAAAACUGGGGGUGGUCUUAGGUACUCCGGAAGAGUCAGCAGAUCCUGUUUUGCAUGUUGCACCAGUUGUGUUGCUCAUGUUAUUACAGACCCGGUUAAUAGUUAAAUCCGGUAAGUUACAUUCGUGGUAAAAAGGGAAGUGGGUUGUAUACAACAUAAUGAACAUAUCCGAUAUCAUCUGUGAAACAGUUAUUCCAUAACGGUCAACCAACGCGUGAUGGCGUCCGUAAAAUAUACGAAGGGAUGAUUUCAACUGCACCGUUUGGAACUUUUGGUUUAAAAGCUUCCUGGUGAGCAACAACCCUCUAUUAAGGCAAUCAGGAUAGGUAAAACAAGCUCAGGAAUAUCGUAUCAAUUUGGAGUUAUAUAGUCCGUAUGCAGGUGCUGCUGAAAUGUUGCUACAUAGACAUGGAAAGUUCAGAAUUAGGAAGCUUUUGUCGUAAAUUUUUGUUUUCAACCGACCAUCAUUGUCAAUUUCCAGAUUUAAGUCAAGAUAUGAAGUAGACUUAUCUGCAUCUGUUGUAUUCUUUAUCCAUAGGAUAGAUGCGUUCAUCAUAGUCACAUAGUCACCAAAUUUAGAAUUAUUUAGAUGAAAGAACAUCAUUUAUAUAGCGGAAAGUAAAGUUAAAAAAUAUUGCCAACUUCUUUUCUUUCUUCCUAUGAAUUUCCUGUAUGAAAUCAUCCUCAUAAUAAUAUAAAAACAAGUCGACGAGAAGAGGGGUACAAUUGGUUCCCAUUGCAAUUCCGACAGUCUGUUGUAAAACACGUUCUCCAACAGUAACUAAUAUUUUGUCAUUUAAGAAAUCAAGCAUGUUGAUAAUGUUAAUUUCUGUUAAAUUUUUGUUCGAAUCAGAGUGAUUCUUUACAAAGUAGGAGUUAUCCCUUCCCAAGACAUGAUACUUAUAUCUACGUUCGCCAGUCUUUUUUAUGAAACAAAGCAGUUCCAACUCUUUCAAUUUGUCUUUUAGUUUGGAAUGAAGAAUAGUUGUGCAAAGUGUAGAAAAGUCAAAUGUUCACAAGAUAUUUGAGACAACAAAUUGUAAAACUAUAUUGGCAUUAAUCACGCCAUUCAGUUGUGGAUUAAAAUGUUUGAAAAGGCAAUUAAAAUUGUUCAGCAUUCAUAACCAACAGGUGUUUUUAAAAGACAGCCAGACAAUAUAAAAAGUCAAUCAUUUGAGUAGAUAUAGCUGCUGUUUAUGUUAUGGAAAGCAUUUGUAGAAAUCAAAAUUUUCAAGUAUUUAAAAGAUGAACUGCAUGUACCUAAAAUAAAUUAUAUGCCAAAGAAAAUUCCAAAUGCAGAUAUUUUUUUUUUUUUUAAAUCUGAUGAAUGUCUCAGAAAAUCAAAUUUGAGGAGAAAUAAAGGCAACAUUAGUAUACCGCUUUUCAAAAUUCAUCAAUCGAUAGAGAAAAAACAAAUCGUAAAAACAAACUAAAACUGAGGGAAACGUAUCAAAUAUAAGAGAACUACGACACAACACCGAAAUGUAACACACACAGAAACGAACUAUAAUGUAACAAUGGCAAUUUUCCUGACUUGGUACAGGGCAUUUUAUGAAGAAAUUGUAAGUUGAACCUGGUUUUGUGGCAUUCGAAGUCGGUUAUGCGCUAAUACCUUCCUAUUUUCAAAUUGGCCCCCAGAAAAUAAGUUUUCAAGAAUUUUUAUCAGGAAAUAAGGUUACAAGAAGUUUUAGACAAUAAGUUGUGAAGCUAUAUUUGCAUUAAUAACGCCAUUGUGAGUUGUGCAAUUUAAAUGUUUGAAAAGGCUAUAGACCCAAGUUUUACAUAUUGAAAGCUUUUCUGAUAUACUUAGUUUUCGUUUUCCGUUUUCAUUUAGAUUUAACACAAAAAAAAAUCACAAAAUAAAAUACUCGAAAAAUCACUAUUAUGGUGGUUUUUUUUAAACGCGUUGUCUCUUUUAUUUAAAGAUACUUGAUUUUGAUCAAACGUUUGAUACACUAAAUAAUGUUAGCCUGUAUUAAAACAAUGACACUGUUCACGAAUUUAAACAAAAAAUAAUUGUUAAUCUUCUUGUUCUUCGACCUUCUUAAUUAGAACGAAAAUUAUUAACACAUUUACCAAAUAUGUUGUUUGCACUGACUGCCAGAAACUAUUACAAUUUGAUAUUCUAUUAUUUAAAAGCAUUUUUUUUGGUGGAAAUAUAGCUUUAUCUAGAUAUAGGAAAAUGUGGUGUGAGUGGCAAUGAGACAACUCUCCAUCCAAAUAACAAUUUAUAAAAGUAAACCAUUACAGGUCAAUGUACGACCUUCAACAAGGAGCCUUGGCUCAUACCCAAUUAAAUUUGUUGGAAAUCUUGUUAAUUUGAAAACAAACUUACCUGCCUGAAUACGCUAUACAUUCCUAAACAAUGUUUGACAUUCACUAUCAGAUUUAAAUUUGUUUUUAACAAAAAUGUUUGUAUUAUAAUAUUUUUAUGCAUUUAUAUUUCAGAGAAAAUAAAAACAGUAAACCACAGC
rnacentral:lncRNA from 1 species